UACGUAGGGGGCUAGCGUUGUCCGGAUUUAUUGGGCGUAAAGAGCGUGUAGGCGGCCAGGUAGGUCUGGUGUGAAAACUCGAGGCUUAACCUCGAGAUGUCAUCGGAAACCAUUUGGCUAGAGUCCGGAAGAGGAGAGUGGAAUUCCUGGUGUAGCGGUGAAAUGCGCAGAUAUCAGGAGGAACACCAAUUGCGAAGGCAGCUCGCUGGGACGUUACUGACGCUGAGACGCGAAAGCGUGGGGAGCAAACAGG
rnacentral:rRNA from 1 species